CCAGUACCUGCAUCAUGAGUCAUGACCAUUCUGGAGGCGCUGUCCUCUCUCCCUGUGUGUCACCGGCUGUCUGCAAGCAGUCAUCCCCCCCUUUUUGUAUUUAUGUCUGUUAUCCCCAUUCAGUCAGUGCUUAGUUGUCAGUCUGCCUAGUCUGUUUUCUUCUGAGCCGCUACUUGUCGUAGUUAAACUUAUGCCUGUCUGUUUUUGUUUAGAGUAAGCCAGAGCACUCUUUCUCAGUGCUCUUCUGUACCUGCCUGCCUUCUGCUGUUGUACAAUAAAUACCCCUGAUUUGGGUUUACGCUU